rnacentral:tRNA from 1 species
GCAAUGGUGAUUCAGUGGUAGAAUACUUGGCUUCCAUGAGGAAGACCUGGGUUUGAGUCCUCGCCAGUGCA